rnacentral:rRNA from 1 species
GAUCCUGGCUCAGGAUGAACGCUAGCGACAGGCUUAACACAUGCAAGUCGAGGGGCAUCACGGGAGUAGCAAUACAACUGGUGGCGACCGGCGCACGGGUGAGUAACGCGUAUGCAACCUACCUAUCAGAGGGGAAUAACCCGGCGAAAGUCGGACUAAUACCGCAUAAAACAGGGGCACCGCAUGGUGAUAUUUGUUAAAGAAAUUCGCUGAUAGAUGGGCGAUGCGUUCCAUUAGGUAGUUGGUGAGGUAACGGCUCACCAAGCCGACGAUGGAUAGGGGAACUGAGAGGUUGGUCCCCCACACUGGUACUGAGACACGGACCAGACUCCUACGGGAGGCAGCAGUGAGGAAUAUUGGUCAAUGGGCGGGAGCCUGAACCAGCCAAGUCGCGUGAAGGAAAAGAAGGAUCUAUGGUUCGUAAACUUCUUUUGCAGGGGAAUAAAGUGCAGGACGUGUCCUGUUUUGUAUGUACUCUGAGAAUAAGGAUCGGCUAACUCCGUGCCAGCCGCUGC